GGCAACCGACAGCAGCUUCUCGCCGUUCAACCCAGCAUCUGGAGACUGGGAAGCGUACGCCUCCCGUUUCACCUUCCUCCUAGAAGCCAAAGGGGUCACCGAUGAAGAAGACGCCAAGAAGAGGGCGAUAUUCUUCAGCAUCUGCGGAGAGGAGACGAGUGGUGGCUCGUCGAAAUGCCUUCUACGCAAAGCGGCAAGCCCCUGGGGAAACCAUAACUGGGUUUGUGACCUCUCUCCGCCAAGCCGCCCGGUUCUGCAACUUCUCAGAGCUGGAGAACAUGCUUCGGGACCGCCUCGUCGGUGGCCUGAAGGAUGAGAAGCUGCAACGACGCCUCUACGCUAAGAAGGACCUAACGUUCCAGGUCGCUCUUGAGGAGGCCCUGGCAACGGAAGCUGCCAAGAGGUCGACGCAAGAGGCACGGCUGAGCCUGCCAUCCCAAACGAGGGUCCACCACGAAGACCUCACCGACGACUCAGGAUCUGACAGGGAGGAGGUGCACCGAGUACAGCAGCGCACUCAAGCAGCCCACAUACCACAGCUGCCUCGACGAGAAGGAGGGAACUGUGCAAGCUGCGGGGAAAGUCACGAGAGGAGGACCUGCCGUUUCCGCAAUGCGGAGUGCAGGCAGUGCAGAAAAUCGGGACACAUCGCCCGGGUGUGUCGAGCUUGGCCCACCCGUCGCCAGGCAUCAGAUGACCAAUCCAAGAGCCCCAGGUCCCGGGGCCCAACACACCAAGGCAACUCAACGGAGCUCACGGACUUCCAGGUAUACCAGUUGCCCCACCCCAACGUAGAGAAAAUUUAUGUAGAGGUACAGAUAGAGGGGCCCCAUGCCGCAUGGAGCUUGACACGGGUUCAACUCUAUCCAUAAUCUCGGCAAGGACCUUAAGGAAACUGUGUCCUACUGGGGGUCCCAAACUCAGGCCGGCCCCAUUCACCCUCCGGGACUUCCAGAAACGUAAGGUCCCCACAAUGGGGGUGGGGACCUUCAGGGUGCAAUACCGAGGGCGCACGCGGCAACUGGACUUGCUUGUGGUCAAGGGCCCCUACAUUAGCUUACUGGGAUUGGCAUGGUUUGGACCACUGGGGCUAGUCAUCACCGGGGUGAACCACACUAGCUUACAAGUGGACGUGGACGCCAUAUGCAAGGAAUUUCCAGGGGUUUUCGAUGGGAAAUUGGGACAGUAUACGGGCCCCCCCAUUGCUCUACAGCUUGACCCCGCAGUACGACCGGUCAGGCUCAAGGCCCGCCGGGUCCCGUUCGCCCUGAAACCCCGUAUAGACGAGGAAUUGGACCGGCUCGUGGAGCAAGGAGUGCUGGAGCCGGUGCCUAAUGCCCCCUGGGAAACCCCAAUCGUCACACCUGUCAAGCCUAAUGGUUCGGUCCGCAUCUGCACAGACUACAAAUGUACCAUAAACAAGGCCCUCACGGCCCAUGCAUACCCAGUGCCAGUGGUCAGCCAUGUCCUUGCCACCCUGGCUGGGUCGAAAAUGUUUGGCAAGCUGGACUUGGCCCAAGCAUAUCAACAGCUGCCAGUAGAUGAGGCCACAGCAGAGGCACAGACGAUUGUGACGCACAGAGGAGCAUUCAGGGUAAAGCGGCUGCAAUUCGGUGUCAGUGUGGCACCAGGCAUAUUCCAGAAUCUAAUGGACUCGCUCCUUAAAGGGAUUCCUGGCAUCACCCCCUUCUUCGAUGAUGUGUUGAUUGCCGGGCCCACACCAGAGGAGUUUGAGGACCGCCUCCGCACCGUUCUGCACCAUUUCCAGAUGGCGGGUCUCAAGGUGAAGCGGGAAAAAUGUCUACUAGGAGUGCCUCAGGUGAACUUUCUGGGAUUUAUGGUGGACGCAGAAGGGGUCCACCCAACUGGGGACAAGGUACGGGCCAUUUGUGAUGCCCCAGCACCCAAGAGCAAGACUGAACUUCAGGCCUUCUUGGGACUAUUGAACUUUUACCAUUCCUUCCUUCCCCACAAGGCGGCAGUAGCGGAGCCCCUACACAGACUCCUGGACAAGUGGGCCCCUUGGGUGUGGGGCCAGCGCCAGGAGGCUGCAUUCCAGGCAGUCAAGGACUUGCUUGUCUCAAACUCGGUCUUGGCACACUUCGACGAGAGGCUGCCGGUGGUGCUAGCAUGCGACGCCUCGCCCUAUGGCAUUGGCGCUGUCCUGGGACACCAACUCCCGGAUGGAAGAGAGGUACCGGUAGCAUACUUUUCCCAGACACACAACGCAACCGAGCGGAACUACUCGCAAAUAGACAAGGAGGGGCUGGCAAUCGUGAAGGGAGUAAACAAAUUCCAUGAUUUCUUGUACGGGCGGCCUUUCACCGUGGUGACUGACCACAAGCCGUUGCUUGGCUUGUUUGCCCCCGAAAAGCAGACCCCCCAAGUGCUGUUUCCUCGCGUCCUCAGGUGGUCAAUUUUGCUUGCCAGCUACCAGUAUGCACUGAUUCACCGCCCGGGGAAGGCGAUGGGCCAUGCGGACGCCCUCAGCAGGCUACCACUACCGGAAACAGGCCCCGACCCAGCACCUGCACAAGAGGUUAUGAGCCUGGAGCUGCUUCCCGACCGCCCCAUUCAGGCACAAGAAGUUGCGCACCAUUCCAAGAAAGAUAGGGUCAUCUCCCGGGUCCUGGACUAGGUGUGGAGGGGAUGGCCCAGCAGCAGCCCUGGGCCAGAAUUCGCUGGCUACACAACCCGCAAACAUGAACUGUCAGCCCACAAGGGGUGCCUGUUAUGGGGAAGCAGGGUCGUUGUUCCCCAGCCCCUCCGCAAAAGGGUCCUCACAGCCCUACACGAGACACACCCAGGGGUAGUAAGAAUGAAGGCCCUGGCCAGGAGUUAUGUGUGGUGGCCGGGGAUCGACGGAGAGAUAGAGGCCUGGGUCAAACACUGCCAGGCCUGCCAAGAAUCCCGCCCAGAUCCCCCAAGGGCCCCAGUCCAGUCCUGGGAGUCCGCCCUAGCUCCAUGGUCACGCCUGCAUGUGGACUUCGCUGGCCCCUUUCAGGGGAAAACAUUCUUCAUAGUGGUGGACUCCUACACCAAAUGGCUGGAAGUCGCACUGGUACCGUCCACUUCUACAUCCGCAGCCAUCCGGGUACUACGCAGGCUGUUUGCAACCCACGGGCUCCCUGACACUCUCGUCUCAGACAACGGGACUGCAUUUACGUCAAGAGAAUUCCAAACCUUCACAGCGCAGAACGCCAUCCGCCACAUCCGUUCGGCGCCAUUCCACCCUGCCACCAAUGGCCAAGCAGAACGCAUGGUGCGGACCACCAAGGACACCCUUUGCCGCAUGACACAAGGGGAUUGGGAGUAUCGCCUUGCCACAUUCCUCCUAGCACAGCACAGCACCCCCAGCUCAACGACUGGCCGGAGCCCCACUGAACUACUAAUGGGUCGGCGCCUUGCAAUCAGAUUGGACCGCCUUCACCCUGAUAGAGCUCAGGAUGAGGUAGUGGUGGGGGAAGGCAGGAACCCCCGGACCUUCGAGGCCCAGGACCCAGUGUACGCAAAGAAUUUUGGGGCAGGCCCAGCAUGGGUACCCGCCACAGUCACCAGGGUCACUGGCCCCGUGUCGUACAAGGUGCUAACGGAUGGGGGGCAAUGCUGGUGCCGCCACUGCGACCAGAUACGGCAACAAUUCCCGGGAGAAAACCAGGAGGAGGAAAGGUCAGAGGAGUCCCAAGGGAACAGAGGGGCAGUGAGGCCCAUAGAGCAGGAGGGGCCAGCAGGAGAGGCAGAAUCAGUAAAUACAGAGAGGACCCACGAGGCCGAAAGGACACCGGAACCAGAACCACGACUGAGCGAGCCAGUUGCGCCAGACCAAACAGGCCCAUCACAGCCAGCAUCCUUGGAACACGAGCCAGAACCUGAACCCUGGACCAGGGAACACCACAGGCCGCAACGCACACAUAGGCCGCCGGCGUACCUCGAGGACUAUGAAUGUGACCUCCCGGGCAGGACUGGAACUUAGAGGGGAGGGGUGAUAUGUACUGAGUUGAAUAGGAUCCAAACUACAGCAGUCUGAUUGGUCCUAGAACAAUAGGAUCCAAAUUGCAGCAGUCUGAUUGGUCCUAGAACAAUAGGAUUCAGAAUGCAGCAGUCUGAUUGGUCCUAGAACAAGGCAGCAGUAUGAUUGGUUGGCAGGAACCACCCAAUCAUGCUCCAGAUAUAAGUGAAUCCACAACCUGAUUGGCUUACAGUAGAAUUCCAGAAUUAGCCAAUCAUGUGCAGCCCAUUGUGUAAAUAAUGUAUAUAAAGCAGAUACUUUGAGGAGACAUUCAUUCAUUCCUCCUCACCACUAUGAGCUGAAUAAAGAGCAUGAAAUC
rnacentral:lncRNA from 1 species